ACCCGUUCCCAUACCGAACACGGAAGUUAAGCUCUCUAGCGCCGAUGGUAGUUGGGACUUUGUCCCUGUGAGAGUAGGACGUUGCCAGGC
rnacentral:rRNA from 1 species